rnacentral:piRNA from 1 species
UCGAUCGAGUGCCCGNACUGCUGUUAGAC